GUUUGUGGCUGUCGUCACAAUAUUUCGAACUUGCGCGAAUGCCUUUAAAAAAAUUAAAGUUUACAAUGGAUUUCCACGAUAGCACCUAUGAUACAAAGUUCUUUGGCUUUACUGCUGAGCAGAUAACAGCUAUACGCGAGCAUGAGGUGAAGAUUAUGAUUGGCCAGGCUGUCGAAAACACCAUUGAAAAGAUAGAAACGCCGGCCACUUCGAAACUGCUGGACGCCCAAAAGGACGAAGUGAUACGUCGCAUGGAGGAUUCCACCAUUAAGAACAUGACACCCCUACGGGAGCUGGACAAAAAGUACUUUCGCAUUCCGCCACAUGUGCUGCAGGUGCCGGACUUUCACUUGGAGCAACAAUACACUCCUCUAGAUGAGGAGAAAAAGAACGCGCAGCUGAAGGAGCUAGAGCUGCGCUUUCGCGAGAACCUAAUCACGCUGGCCAAGUUAGAGGCGGAGGCCAACCACUAUGAAUCGGUGGCCAAUAUUGUGCAGCAGGAGACGAUUGAGCACAAGAAGAUCUAUGCAAAUGUUCCCUCUAUAAAUGGCUACAAGCUGACUUAAUUUGCCAAUCGCGUGGCCACCAUUCCGAGCGAUUGAACUGACUCUGAUAUUUUCUGAAUAUAAAUUGUAUAUAUGAAUUGUAAAUAACAAUAAUAGGAUUAGAAAUAGACCGGCGAGUAGUGUGACCAUGUGCUUCAAUUGAGGUUUUUUCUAGUAGUUUAUGCUGAAAAAUACUUUUCGUAUAGGGUAUUUUAUUCGCUUUGUGCCUGUCGUCACACCAUGUCGAAUUUGCGCGAAUGUCUUUGAAAAAAUUAAUUCUUUUUCAUUUGUUUCUCAAAUUAUUAUUGAAUCCCAAGCCAAACUUAUUAAAAUGCGUUUCCGCGAUAGCAUCUACGAUCUAAAGUUCUUCAACUACACUGCUGAGCAGAUAUCGGCUGAACGCGAGCGUCUGGUGCAGAACAUGAUUGGCAAGGCUAUUGAAAAUGCCAUUCAAAAGAUAGAAACGCCGGCCACCUCGAUACAGCUGGGCGCCCAAAAGGACGAAGUGAUACGCCGCGUGGAGGAGUCGGCCCUGAAGAACAUGAAA